GGGCCGGUAACUCAGUGGUAGAGUGUAGGACUGCAGUUCACGUGACCGCCUUCCCGAAGUCACCGGUUCGACUCCGGUUCGGCCCU
rfam:Pyrenochaeta sp. DS3sAY3a unplaced genomic scaffold IQ07scaffold_7, whole genome shotgun sequence.